GCAAGGAAUUUUGCGCAAUGGGCGAAAGCCUGACGCAGCGACGCCGCGUGGGGGACGAAGGCCUUCGGGUUGUAAACCCCUUUUCUCGUGGAAGAAUAAUGACGGUACUCGAGGAAUAAGUCUUGGCUAACUACGUGCCAGCAGCCGCGGUAAUACGUAGAAGGCAAACGUUAUUCGGAUUCAUUGGGCGUAAAGCGGGUGUAGAUGGCUUCUUAAGUUGGAUGUGAAAUCUCCUGACUCAAUCAGGAGGAGACAUUCGAUACUGAGGAGCUCGAGGGCAGCAGAGGAAGGCGGAAUUCCCGGUGUAGCGGUGAUAUGCGUAGAUAUCGGGAGGAACACCAGUGGCGCAGGCGGCCUUCUAGGCUGCUCCUGACAUUGAGACCCAAAAGUGUGGGGAGCGAAACGGAUUAGAUACCCUGGUAGUCC
rnacentral:rRNA from 1 species